GUUGGGUAGGGGAGCGUUCUGUAAGCCUGUGAAGGUGUGUCGUGAGGCAUGCUGGAGGUAUCAGAAGUGCGAAUGCUGACAUAAGUAACGAUAAAGCGGGUGAAAAGCCCGCUCGCCGGAAGACCAAGGGUUCCUGUCCAACGUUAAUCGGGGCAGGGUGAGUCGACCCCUAAGGCGAGGCCGAAAGGCGUAGUCGAUGGGAAACGGGUUAAUAUUCCCGUACUUGGUGUUACUGCGAAGGGGGGACGGAGAAGGCUAUGUUGGCCGGGCGACGGUUGUCCCGGUUUAAGCGUGUAGGUGUGUGUUCCAGGUAAAUCCGGUUCACUUUAACACUGAGGCGUGACGACGAGGCACUACGGUGCUGAAGCAACAAAUGCCCUGCUUCCAGGAAAAGCCUCUAAGCAUCAGGUAACAUCAAAUCGUACCCCAAACCGACACAGGUGGUCAGGUAGAGAAUACCAAGGCGCUUGAGAGAACUCGGGUGAAGGAACUAGGCAAAAUGGUGCCGUAACUUCGGGAGAAGGCACGCUGACACGUAGGUGAAGUGAUUUACUCAUGGAGCUGAAGUCAGUCGAAGAUACCAGCUGGCUGCAACUGUUUAUUAAAAACACAGCACUGUGCAAACACGAAAGUGGACGUAUACGGUGUGACGCCUGCCCGGUGCCGGAAGGUUAAUUGAUGGGGUCAGCGCAAGCGAAGCUCCUGAUCGAAGCCCCGGUAAACGGCGGCCGUAACUAUAACGGUCCUAAGGUAGCGAAAUUCCUUGUCGGGUAAGUUCCGACCUGCACGAAUGGCGUAAUGAUGGCCAGGCUGUCUCCACCCGAGACUCAGUGAAAUUGAACUCGCUGUGAAGAUGCAGUGUACCCGCGGCAAGACGGAAAGACCCCGUGAACCUUUACUAUAGCUUGACACUGAACAUUGAGCCUUGAUGUGUAGGAUAGGUGGGA
rnacentral:rRNA from 1 species